UCCGUAGGCGGGCUAUUAAGUCAGGGGUGAAAGUUUGCGGCUCAACCGUAAAAUUGCCUCUGAUACUGAUAGUCUUGAAUUAGUGUGAAGUGGUCAGAAUGAGUAGUGUAGCGGUGAAAUGCAUAGAGAUUACUCAGAAUACCGAUUGCGAAGGCAGAUCACUAACACUAUAUUGACGCUGAGGGACGAAAGCGUGGGGAGCGAACA
rnacentral:rRNA from 1 species